GACAGAGGUGCCAAGCGUUAGGCGGAAUCACUGGGCUUAAAGCGUGUGUAGGCGGGUCGUUAAGUACCUUGUGAAAUCCCCCGGCUCAACCGGGGAACGGCUGGGUAUACUGGCGAUCUUGAGCCACCUAGGGGCAGUCGGAACAAGUGGUGGAGCGGUGAAAUGCGUAGAUAUCACUUGGAACGCCAAUGGUGAAAACAGACUGCCUGGGGGUGUGACUGACGCUGGAGACACGAAAGCCAGGGGAGCAAACGGG
rnacentral:rRNA from 1 species